GCUGGGGCGAGUACUGCAGCGCGGGCAGCAGGAAGGCGGGGAAGGGAGUAACCUCGUCUUUUGUCCACUUGUGUCUCUCCGCCAGGAUGCUGUGGAGGCUGCGGGGGGAAAGCCUGGAGAUCCGCAGAAGAGCACCUAGCAAAGACAGUGUGAGCACAGUACCUUAAUCGCACUCGCAAGGCGGAGAGGCUGCCGCUCCUCACCUUACACAAACCAUCCGAAGCGUCCUGAAGGAUCCCUUCCUUCUCCUUUGAACUCUUUCCAUAGGACCCAGGAGAGUGCCACUGCUGACCAAGAAGCUGUGCUUGCCCCCAGGAGUAUAUGGUGUAAAUGCAGUGAUUCAGGUUAGGGAUCUGUGGCCGGGCCGGCUUAGUUCACACAGAGUGAAUGUAGAACAAAAACUGGGUUUGACUCAUUUUUUUGAGUACCAUAGAAGGAAUAAGUGUGAGCAAAGGAUGUGAAUGUGCAGGGAGGUGCUUGUAGAACUACAGUAUGGUGCCAGCACUCAACAUUGAGUGAAUUGUGGGGAGGCUGAGUGUCUGGUGAGCAUGAAAACGCAUGAUAGACUAAAUUGCAGAAGGAUGGAGUCAUGUGAUGCCUUGAAGUCAAAGGCAAGGAUUUCAAACCUGAUGAGUCAAAGGGAAAGGAACUGGGAAGAAUAAAACAGAAGAGAUGUUAUGGUUGGGCUAAAACACUAUAUAUAGCAGCCACAUUGGAGGGAUGGAAGGAUAUGAGUGUCCCAUUCCUGAUCAUCAUUGUUUUCUGCAAGUGAACGGGUGAAAUCCUGCCCGUUACACACUCUUCAGCCUUCCUGCCGUGUAGCUACUUCCUGCCUGUAUUUCCAUUCUCUCCAGAUGCAAAGGAUAAAGAAUGGAAAUAUUUUCCCUGUUGGGUGUUUGCUGUGACUGUUUUUCAGGAUUUUGCAUUUAUCCCUGGAACACUCCUGGAUUGCAAAGGUAGGUAGGGCAGGAAGUGUUAUGAAACCUCCACUUGUGUUCUGCCCCUGCUUGUAGUAUGUGUUACCUGACAUAACUCUUGGGUUUCAGUGUGAGCUGAGUAGGAAUGUGUCAGAGAUCCACGGUGAUUUUGAGAAUAAACUUCCUUACUCCAAUUCUUA